UACAGAGGUCUCAAGCGUUGUUCGGAUUCAUUGGGCGUAAAGGGUGCGUAGGCGGCGCGGUAAGUCGGGUGUGAAAUCCCACGGCUCAACCGUGGAAGUGCAUUCGAAACUGCAGAGCUUGAAUAUGGAAGAGGAGAGUAGAAUUCCUGGUGUAGUGGUGAAAUACGUAGAUAUCAGGAGGAAUACCGGUGGCGAAGGCGACUCUCUGGUCCAAUAUUGACGCUGAGAAACGAAAGUGCGGGGAUCAAACAGG
rnacentral:rRNA from 1 species